rnacentral:misc_RNA from 1 species
GUUCCAGUUUUGGCCCCAGAAAGAUGAGGGUGAGCGACCUAAGUGGACUGCGAGGCUCUUCUAUGCAAUUGCAGGUGUGGUGGUUAUUUCAAUACUAAGGCAUCAUGCUCCUGAUGAGGCUGCAAGAGCCAGGUAUCAAAAGCGGGUUUCUAACAUUAUAGACGAUGUGCUCGAGUGGUCUCCAAGUCUAGCUUUGUCAGGCAUGAUAGAAAAGCAACCUGUGGUGAACAUCACCGAGCCUAUUGACAAUGUAACUGAUAGCAAGAGUAGCGAUGAGAAGCUAUUUUCCUCGGGUGAUCUAGAUGAUGAAACCAUAUCCAAUGAAGAAGUUGAGGAAGUUACUGAAAAUACAGAAGACAGUGAUCAUCACCAAAACAUAUAAUUUAUAAAUGUUAGAACAUGUUGUACCCAAAGAUAU